rnacentral:rRNA from 1 species
CCCUUAGAUGUCCUGGGCCGCACGCGCGCUACACUGAGUGUCUGAGAUACGAGUCUGCCUGGUCCGGCAAGGUCUAGGUAAUCGCUAAAAGACACAUCAUGCUUGGGAUAGAUUAUUGCAAAUAUUAAUCUUGAACGAGGAAUUCCUAGUAAGCGCAAGUCAACAGCUUGCGUUGAUUACGUCCCUGCCCUUUGUACACACCGUCCGUCGCUACUACUGAUUGGAUGUUUAAGCGAGGUUCUCGAACUGCUAGCGACUUAGCUUCGGUGAGGUCGCAGUGUGGGAAGUGAACCUAGCUUUGGUGUCUAGAGGAAGUAAAAGUCGUAACA